AGAGUUUGAUCAUGGCUCAGGACGAACGCUGGCGGCGUGCCUAACACAUGCAAGUCGAACGGGGUUAUCGGGCAGCUUGCUGCCCGAUACACCUAGUGGCGCACGGGUGAGUAACACGUGGGCAACCUACCCAGAAGACCGGGACAACACUUCGAAAGGGGUGCUAAUACCGGAUACACCCGCGGAGUCGCAUGAUUUAGCGGGGAAAGAAUUUUCGCUUUUGGAUGGGCCCGCGUCCCAUUAGCUAGUUGGUGAGGUAAUAGCUCACCAAGGCAACGAUGGGUAGCUGGUCUGAGAGGACGAUCAGCCACACUGGAACUGAGACACGGUCCAGACUCCUACGGGAGGCAGCAGUGGGGAAUCUUGCGCAAUGGGCGGAAGCCUGACGCAGCAACGCCGCGUGAACGAAGAAGGCCUUCGGGUUGUAAAGUUCUGUCAGGGGGGACGAAGAGGUGACGGUACCCCCAGAGGAAGCCCCGGCUAACUACGUGCCAGCAGCCGCGGUAACACGUAGGGGGCGAGCGUUGUCCGGAAUUACUGGGCGUAAAGGGCGUGUAGGCGGCCGAUCAAGUCAGGUGUGAAAAAUCAGGGCUUAACCCUGAUCGUGCACUUGAAACUGGUUGGCUUGAGUGCAGGAGAGGAGAGUGGAAUUCCCAGUGUAGCGGUGAAAUGCGUAGAUAUUGGGAGGAACACCAGUGGCGAAGGCGACUUUCUGGACUGCAACUGACGCUGAGGCGCGAAAGCUAGGGGAGCAAACAGGAUUAGAUACCCUGGUAGUCCUAGCCGUAAACGAUGGGUACUAGGUGUAGGGGGUUUAGACGCCCUCUGUGCCGCAGUUAACACAUUAAGUACCCCGCCUGGGGAGUACGGCCGCAAGGCUGAAACUUAAAUGAAUUGACGG
rnacentral:rRNA from 1 species